GAUGAACGCUGGCGGCGUGCCUAAUACAUGCAAGUCGAGCGAACGGACGAGAAGCUUGCUUCUCUGAUGUUAGCGGCGGACGGGUGAGUAACACGUGGAUAACCUACCUAUAAGACUGGGAUAACUUCGGGAAACCGGAUCUAAUACCGGAUGAUAUUUUGAACCGCAUGGUUCAAAAGUGAAAGACGGUCUUGCUGUCACUUAUAGAUGGAUCCGCGCUGCAUUAGCUAGUUGGUAAGGUAACGGCUUACCAAGGCAACGAUGCAUAGCCGACCUGAGAGGGUGAUCGGCCACACUGGAACUGAGACACGGUCCAGACUCCUACGGGAGGCAGCAGUAGGGAAUCUUCCGCAAAGGGCGAAAGCCUGACGGAGCAACGCCGCGUGUGUGAUGAAGGUCUUCGGAUCGUAAAACUCUGUUAUUAGGGAAGAACAUAUGUGUAAGUAACUGUGCACAUCUUGACGGUACCUAAUCAGAAAGCCACGGCUAACUACGUG
rnacentral:rRNA from 1 species